CAAACAUUCAGUGUUUUGUUCUGCAUUUUCCAACUUAUUACCUCUUUAAAUAUGUUCACCUGCUAAUUAAAACGUGACAAUAAUUUUCAAUUCUAGAAUCUUUAACUGGUUCUUUUUCGUUUCCCCAUUCUUGUGUCACAUCUAAUUUGUAUUUCAUGAUUCCUUUUUUCUUAUUUCACAAAUAUUACUUAUUCCUAUAUCCCUUUUAGGAUUUCAAAGAUAUUGGCUUUUAAAAUCCGUUUUGGAAGACUGACUUUGUAUUUCUUUGAUAAUUCACCUUCUUACUGAUUAAUCAGCCAUCUUUCAUGAAGUUUUGUUUUCUUCUUGGGUUAGACUCCUUUCUCCUUUUGUUCAAUGUCACAGUGAUGUAGCAUCAAGAUACUUUAAAUAUAUAUUCAAAAUAUUUUGUCUAGCAUUGCUAUGUUGAGGGUAUUGAGGGAGGUGAACAAUGCAUCAUUUAACAAUACCAUUUUAAUUAGCAUAUACAUUUCUCAGGUAUCAUUUGUAAAACCAAGAAGUACUAAAAAAUAUUUCAUCUGUUUGCAAAGCUAGCACACAGAACUUUUUCUGAAAGAUCACUGUUUCUAACUACACAAUUCAGAAAUCAGCAAGCUAUGACCCAAACCAAACUGCCACCUGACUUUUAAGGACUAUCAGCUAAAAACUGUUCUGACAUUUUUAAGAAAUUGUCAAAAAGCAAAGAGUAAUGUGCAAUAAAAACUAUACUUGGUCCUUUCCAGAAAAUGUUUGCUGACCCCUGACAUAGUCUAUUAAUGGAUGCCAUCCCAAUGAUUUUGUUCCCUGAUUUAUUAAAAUAGAUUUUAUUUUUUAGUUUUUAGCAAAACUGAGUAGAAGGUACAGAGAUUUUCCACAAAUCCCCUGCUCCCACGUAUGCAUAGCCUUCCCCAUUAUCAACAUCUCCAAUUGGAGUGGUACUUUUGUUACAUUUGAUGAACCUACAUUGACACAUUAUUAUUACCUAAUGUCCAUAGUUUACAAUAGGAUUCAUGCUUGGUGCUAUACAUUCUGUAGGUUUGGACAAAUGUAUAAUGAUAUGUAUCCACCAUCCUAGAAUCAUGUGGAGUAGUUUCACUGCCCUAAAACUCCUCUGUGCUCCACCUACUCAUGCUUCCCUCCUCACUAAUCCCUGGCAACCCCUGAUGUUUUCACUGUCUCCGUAGUUUUGCCUUUUAGAAUGUCAUAUGGCUGUAAUCGUAUAUAACGUAAGCUUUUCAGUCUUGCUAACUUCAUUUCCUCCAUUUCUUUGCAUUGCAUGAUAGCUCAUUUUUCUUAGCACUAAAUAAUAUUUCAUUGUAUGUACCAUAGUUUAUUUAUCCAUUCACCUUGGAAGGACAUCUAGGUUGCUUCAAAGUUUUGGCAAUUAUGAAUAAAGCUGUUAUAGACACCUGUUUUUGCAUGGGCACAAGUUUUCAGCUUCUUUGACUAAAUAUCAAGGAGUGUGAUUAUUAAAUCAUAUGUUAAGAGUAUGUUUGGUUUUCCGUGGAAAACCACCAAACUGUCUUCCAAAGUGUUUGUACUAAUUUACAUUCCUACCUGCAAUGCGUGAGAAUUCCUGUGGUUCUAUAGCCUCUUCAGGUUUUGAUGUGCUCAGUGUUCUGGAUUUUGGCUACUGUAACAAGUGCGUAAUGGGAUUUCACUGUUUUAAUUUUCAUUUCCCUGAUGCCAUAUAAUGUUGAACAUCUUUUCAAAGGCUUAUCUGCCAACAGUAUACCUACUUUGUGGGGUACCUAUUAACGUCUUUGGCCUAUUUUAAAAUCAGGUUGGUAGUUUUCUUUAUUGUUGAGUUUUAAGGAUUUUUUGCAUAUUUCAGAUAAAAAUUGCUUAUCAAAUAUGUCUUUUGCAAACAUUUUCUCCUAGUCCGUAGCUUAUCUUUUCAUUCUCUUCCCAGUGUCUUUCAUAGGGCAGAAAAAAUUUAAAUUCAAUGAAGUCCAAUUUACCAAUUCCUUUUGUAUGGAUCGUGCCUUUGGUAUUGUAUCUAAAAUUCAAGGUCAUCUAGAUUUUCUCCUCUGUAAUCUCUAGGAUUUUUAUAGUUUUGCAUUUUACAUUUAAGUCUACAAUCCACUUUGAAUUAAUUUUGUGAGGGAUGUAAGGACUGUAUCUUGAUUCACUUUCAGCAUGUGGAUGUCCAGUUGCUCCAGUACCAUUUGUUGAAAAGACUGUUUUUCUCCAUUAUACCUCCUUUGCUCUUUUGUCAAAGAUCAGUUGACUUUAUUCAUGUGGUGGCUAUUUCUGAGCUCUCUAUCAUAUUCAAAUGAUUAUUUUGAAUAAUCAAAAUAUCACACUGUCUUAAUUACUGUAGAUUUACAGAUAUUCUUGAAGCUAGGUAGUGUCACUCCUCCAACUUAAUUCAUCUCUUUCAAUAUUGUGUUGGCUAUUUUGAGCCUUUUGCACCUCCAUAUAAACUUUAGAGUCAGUUUAUCAAUGUCCACAAAAAAAGUAGCUGGGAUGUGUAUUAGAAUUAUAUUGAAUCCAUAGAUCAAGUUGGGAAGAACUAAGAUUUUGGCAAUUUUGAGUUUUCCUAUCCAUAGACACUGACUCUCUCUCCAUUUAUACUUUGAUUACUUUCAUCAGAGUUAUGUAGUUUUCUUCAUAGAUACUGUACUUACUCCGUUAGACUUAUUCCUAAGUAUUUGAUUUUGUCGGGGGGGAUGUGCUAAUGUAUAUGGUAUUUUGCUUUUAAUUUCAAAUUCUAGUUGUUCACUGCUGGCAUACUGGAAAGCAAUUUACUUUUGCAUAUUAACCUUGAAUCCUGCAAUCUUACUAUAAGUGCUUAUUAGUUUCAGGAAUUUGGGGGCAAUUCUUUUGGAUUUUUAACAUAGUGAUGCUAUUUGCGGAUAGUUUUAGUUCUUCCUUACCAGUCUGAGUAAAUGUAUUCCCUUUUAUUUUCUUGUUGCAUUAGUUUGGCCUUCCACUGUGUGCCUUUCAGGAGUGAAAGGGAACAUCCUUGCCUUGUUCCUGAUCUUAGUGGGAAAGCUUUGCGUUUUUCACCAUUAAACAUGAUGUGGGAGUUCCCGUCGUGGCGCAGUGGUUAACGAAUCUGACUAGGAACCAUGAGGUUGCGGGUUCGGUCCCUGCCCUUGCUCAGUGGGUUAAGGAUCCGGCGUUUCACAACGAAGAAAGAAAAGUAACUCUCCUUUGCUGUUCUUUAUCUAGCUACCAGUUUCUUUCUUCCAGCUGAAUAUAAAGUACAUUUUCCACUUUAAAAAUCACUCUUUAGAAAUGUCGUUCUUAUUCACAGUGGCAGAGAAGAUAAAAAGUGAUUAUGGUUUCUGUCCUGAGCCUCAGAUCCUGGUUACAGCUGACAACUCUAUAAAAUCUUAGAAAUAAAAUCUUAAAUGAUGGCUAUCAUGCAAGAUUCCUACACACUACAAAGACAAACUGUAAACCCAGCUCUGUUGACAAACUGAAAUAUGUCAUUCAAUCAAUCCAAGUUAUGCUGUUGGCAAAGCAAAAUAAUUUUAUCACCAAACCAGGACAUUUGCCCUCCUUCUUAAGCCCUUGGAGGUGAUAAGCAAAACUUCUCUCUAAUCUUCAUUCCAAAUGAAAAAUAUGAAAGAUAAUGUCUGGUGUUAUUCAUUUAGAACUGGUGAUUUCUUGUUACCAAAACUGUAUGGCAGUGGCCUAAAACUUAGUUAUUGAUGACUUCACUGAAUGACUCCUUUUGAUUGACAUUGAGGUUGCUUUAAAUUUUUCCUGAUAAAGUUUGUGUGUGUGUGUGUUUAUUAGUUUGUUUGUUUUUAAGGCAUUAGGGGACUGAAAGACACUCCGGUUGUGCUUAUCCAAAUGGUAACUGCUGAAUUUGGUGCCAUUAGUCCAUUUUCAUUAUUCAUCAUUUGAAAGCAAGCAUCUGACCCUUACGGGGCACCAUGGACCCCCAAAGGAGAAGAGUGAUGAGGACAGGAAGAACCUGCACAAGUUG
rnacentral:lncRNA from 1 species